rnacentral:rRNA from 1 species
UUACCGAGUUUACAACUCCCAAACCCCUGUGAACAUACCAUUUGUUGCCUCGGCGGUGCCUGCUUCGGCAGCCCGCCAGAGGACCCAAACCCUUGAUUUUAUACAGUAUCUUCUGAGUAAAUGAUUAAAUAAAUCAAAACUUUCAACAACGGAUCUCUUGGUUCUGGCAUCGAUGAAGAACGCAGCGAAAUGCGAUAAGUAAUGUGAAUUGCAGAAUUCAGUGAAUCAUCGAAUCUUUGAACGCACAUUGCGCCCGCCAGUAUUCUGGCGGGCAUGCCUGUUCGAGCGUCAUUUCAACCCUCAAGCCCCCGGGCUUGGUGUUGGAGAUCGGCGUGCCCCCCGGGGCGCGCCGGCUCCCAAAUAUAGUGGCGGUCUCGCUGUAGCUUCCUCUGCGUAGUAGCACACCUCGCACUGGAAAACAGCGUGGCCACGCCGUUAAACCCCCCACUUCUGAAAGGUUGACCUCGGAUCAGGUAGGAAUACCCGCUGAACUUAAGCAUAUCAAUAAGCGGAGGAAAAGAAACCAACAGG